rnacentral:rRNA from 1 species
AACGAACGCUGGCGGCAUGCCUAACACAUGCAAGUCGAACGAGACCUUCGGGUCUAGUGGCGCACGGGUGCGUAACGCGUGGGAACCUGCCCUUAGGUUCGGAAUAACUCCCCGAAAGGGGUGCUAAUACCGGUUAAUCUCUUCGGACCAAAGAUUUAUCGCCUUUGGAUGGGCCCGCGUUGGAUUCGCUAGUUGGUAGUGUAAAAGCCUACCAAGGCGACGAUCCAUAGCUGGUCUGAGAGGAUGAUCAGCCACACUGGGACUGAGACACGGCCCAGACUGCUACGGGAGGGAGCAGUGGGGAAUAUUGGACAAUGGGCGAAAGCCUGAUCCAGCAAUGCCGCGUGAGUGAUGAAGGCCUUAGGGUUGUAAAGCUCUUUUACCCGGGAUGAUAAUGACAGUACCGGGAGAAUAAGCUCCGGCUAACUCCGUG